ensembl:lncRNA
CCCAAACAUAAUACACUUGGGCUUUCCCCUUAUCUUUCUGAGCCUUCCCUCCAGGAAGCCUGUCCUGGCUCCUCUACCUCUCUUUCAACUCAGAAAAAGUUGAGAUUUCCAAGGCAGAGUUCCUGAACUCUCACCCUUCUGAAAUUAAUCCUAGGUGGCCUAACUUGUAUCUGUGUAUCCCAGCAGUGUCCCUGUGCUAGGGACUCCAGUCCUGUCAUCUGAGUCUGCAUAUCUUCCAGCUCUAGACAUCAACAUUCGACUGUAUAAACCAUCUUAAACUUACUUAUGACAGACAUGUGAACAUUCCUCUCCAACAUGUUCUUUAAGAGAUCUCUUCUCAGGUGUGCUGAGCACCUGCCCUGUCUGUGCAGAAGAUUCCCACCCAUGAGUCAUACGGGAUACCCAGCUAGGGAGGACCAGAGAGAGAGAGGACGUGAAACCACCAGGGAGAUCUUGAAGCCCCAGAGAAGGAUGCAGCUGAGUAGCCUGUGGUCUAGCAGAUGGAGGAGUGGUGGUACUGAGCAGUGAGGAAUGGUUGCUCCCCAGAUGGUGGCACUGCUGUGGGAGGUUAUGGGACCUUCAGGAGGCGGAGCCUUGCUGGAGAAAGUGAGCCACCAGCACAUUCUACAAUCUCAGUGCUAGACAGGCAUGAGGAUUCCUGGGUCUGACUAGCCGGCCAGCGUAGUGGAUACUUCCCACUCCGAUACAGCGAAAGACUAUUUCUCAAACAAUGAGCCCCAGAGUCUGCUUGAGUCUGUGCUCCUCACGUCUCCUUGGCAAGGAGGGCCUACGGGAGAAACAUCCGGUUACAACACUCCAGACACAACUUUGUGUCCUCUGCUGUCCGCGGAUCAGAGACAACUUGUCCACAGCCACUCCCUGUAGCUUACUCAUCAACCACACGGUGCGGGACCUCUCUGUGCUCUCUGAAAGGCGUAGAAUGGAGCUCGCUCUGCUUUGCAGGUCUGAGCUCUCCUUAAAGCCCCCGGUACAUUGUCUGUUCGCUGUAUUAAGAAACCCCCUGCUACAUUUCUUACUCAAAAGCAUGCUCCGCCUCAGUGUCCCUCCUGACAAACCUUGACAUGCCUCUCUCGUCUCUUCCUUUUCUGAUGGAAGUAAUGUGGUCCCCAAGUUCCAAGCCGCCCCUUUCCAGUGUCCUCCCUACAAGAUCCAGACCUUACAUUUUCUCUGACAGAACUGUGCUCCUAUCCAAUCUACUGUGGUCUAAAAUAAGAACUGUGCCACACAGGCUCAUGGAUCUGCAUGCUUGGACCCCAGCCAGUGGCACUGUUUGGGAUGGUUUGAGGAGGCGGGGCCCACCUAGAAGGAGGGAGUCACUGGGGCUAGGUUCUAUAGCUUAUGAAUAACCUCUCUGACCUUUAAAUGGACUCUCCAAAAACAGGGGGCUAAAACAACCUCAUACAGAUUUGGAAGAGCACACUGGGAAGAUGGGAGGAGAGAGGCACCAUGGGUAUUACAGUCCACUCGUGAUGGGCUGGCUAUUAAAUCCACCCAUUCUACAAACAAAAUGAUUUCCUCAGCAAAUUUAAGGCCUAAUGGGGAACACAGAGUUUUCCUUUUUCAGAGGAGAAACAAAUGAACUAAUUCCCUUGGAGGGUUUUGUCUUGUCUUGGUUUCGUUCUGCUCUGAGCUGCUCUGGCUUGGGAAGCUCUUUAAGUUAAUCCUUGGAAAGACAUCCUUCUGAACCAGAGAUAGCCUCCCACCUUCCAAGGCACCCUUCCAGAGGGGAAAUUGCAUUGUGUUUGCUAUACCCUCGUCACUGCUAACUGUUAUCUGCAUCCAAAGAGGAACACAAGGCAGUUCAUAUUCCAGACGCCGGAUGUGUCACUUAUGUUUCUAAGGGCCCAGGGAUGUUUCCUUAUUGUUCAUGUGACUCUGCCUAUAUUUCAUAAACUGCUGGUGCGUAAAAUUACUACCAUUUAAACAAGUGAUACUUCUUUCUUCAUCUUCCCCGG